rnacentral:rRNA from 1 species
UAGGGAAUUUUCGUCAAUGGGGGGAACCCUGAACGAGCAAUGCCGCGUGUGUGAAGAAGGUCUUCGGAUCGUAAAGCACUGUUGUAAGUGAAGAAUGCCAUAUAGAGGAAAUGCUAUGUGGGUGACGGUAGCUUACCAGAAAGCCACGGCUAACUACGUGCCAGCAGCCGCGGUAAUACGUAGGUGGCAAGCGUUAUCCGGAAUCAUUGGGCGUAAAGGGUGCGUAGGUGGCACGAUAAGUCUGAAGUAAAAGGCAACAGCUCAACUGUUGUAUGCUUUGGAAACUGUCGAGCUAGAGUGCAGAAGAGGGCGAUGGAAUUCCAUGUGUAGCGGUAAAAUGCGUAGAUAUAUGGAGGAACACCAGUGGCGAAGGCGGUCGCCUGGUCUGUAACUGACACUGAUGCACGAAAGCGUGGGGAGCAAAUAGGAUUAGAUACC